rnacentral:lncRNA from 1 species
CAGGAGGUGAUCAUAAUAUAUAAAUUGCAUGCUAGCUCCAUGGAACCUCUUACCAAAUAUGUGAUAAUAUCUUGAAUUUUUUCCUUUUAGGAUGAGUCAUAAAAGGAAUACCGUGUCUACAAUUUUAGUGUGGGAAAAGACUAUCAAGGUGUAGUCUUUGCUCUGUGCCUAAAAUCCCUGUUGCAUUUACGUAAAGCCCACAUAA